rnacentral:rRNA from 1 species
GUAGGUGGCAAGCGUUGUCCGGAAUUAUUGGGCGUAAAGCGCGCGCAGGCGGUCCUUUAAGUCUGAUGUGAAAGCCCACGGCUCAACCGUGGAGGGUCAUUGGAAACUGGGGGACUUGAGUGCAGAAGAGAAGAGUGGAAUUCCACGUGUAGCGGUGAAAUGCGUAGAGAUGUGGAGGAACACCAGUGGCGAAGGCGACUCUUUGGUCUGUAACUGACGCUGAGGCGCGAAAGCGUGGGGGAGCAAACAGGAUUAGAUACCCUGGUAGUCCACGCCGUAAACGAUGAGUGCUAAGUGUUAGAGGGUUUCCGCCCCCUUUAGUGCUGCAGCAAACGCAUUAAGCACUCCGCCUGGGGAGUACGGCCGCAAGGCUG